rnacentral:rRNA from 1 species
GUGAGGAAUAUUGGACAAUGGGCGCAAGCCUGAUCCAGCCAUGCCGCGUGCAGGAAGACGCAUCUAUGGUGUGUAAACUGCUUUUGUACGGGAAGAAACACUCCCUCGUGAGGGAGCUUGACGGUACCGUAAGAAUAAGGAUCGGCUAACUCCGUGCCAGCAGCCGCGGUAAUACGGAGGAUCCAAGCGUUAUCCGGAAUCAUUGGGUUUAACGGGUCCGUAGGCGGUUUAAUAAGUCAGUGGUGAAAGCCCAUCGCUCAACGAUGGAACGGCCAUUGAUACUGUUAGACUUGAAUUACAAGGAAGUAACUAGAAUAUGUAGUGUAGCGGUGAAAUGCUUAGAUAUUACAUGGAAUACCAAUUGCGAAGGCAGGUUACUACUUGUGGAUUGACGCUGAUGGACGAAAGCGUGGGGAGCGAACAGGAUUAGAAACCCGGGUAGUCC